UACUGUGAGUGGCAAACGGGUGAGUAAUACGUAGGAAUUUACCCUGUAGUACGGGACAACAGUUGGAAACGACUGCUAAUACCGUAUACGCUCUUCGGAGGAAAGAUUUAUCGCUAUAGGAUAAGCCUGCGCUGAAUUAGAUUGUUGGUGGGGUAAUGGCCUACCAAGUCGAUGAUUUAUAGCUGGUCUGAGAGGACGAUCAGCCACACUGGGACUGAGACACGGCCCAGACUCCUACGGGAGGCAGCAGUGAGGAAUAUUGGACAAUGGGCGCAAGCCUGAUCCAGCAAUGUCGCGUGAAUGAUGAAGGCCUUAGGGUUGUAAAAUUCUUUCGGUGGGGAAGAAACUGACGGUACCCACAGAAGAAGCUCCGGCUAACUCCGUGCCAGCAGCCGCGGUAAUACGGGGGGAGCUAGCGUUUUUCGGAAUUACUGGGCGUAAAGGGUGCGUA
rnacentral:rRNA from 1 species